UGUUACCAAAACGUCGAUGGUACCAGCAGAGCCUUGUAUCUACGCUGGAGCGGCUUCGGGAUCGUUGACGCCAGCGCGGGGACU